rnacentral:rRNA from 1 species
AAAAGGUGGCUAUACUACCGCUUUUGGAUGGGCCCGCGGCGCAUUAGCUAGUUGGUAGGGUAAAGGCUUACCAAGGCAAUGAUGCGUAGCCGAAUUGAGAGGUUGAUCGGCCACAUUGGGACUGAGACACGGCCCAAACUCCUACGGGAGGCAGCAGUAGGGAAUCUUCCACAAUGGGCGAAAGCCUGAUGGAGCAACGCCGCGUGGGUGAAGAAGGUCUUCGGAUCGUAAAACCCUGUUGUUAGAGAAGAAAGUGCGUGAGAGUAACUGUUCACGUUUCGACGGUAUCUAACCAGAAAGCCACGGCUAACUACGUGCCAGCAGCCGCGGUAAUACGUAGGUGGCAAGCGUUAUCCGGAUUUAUUGGGCGUAAAGGGAACGCAGGCGGUCUUUUAAGUCUGAUGUGAAAGCCUUCGGCUUAACCGGAGUAGUGCAUUGGAAACUGGGAGACUUGAGUGCAGAAGAGGAGAGUGGAACCCCAUGUGUAGCGGUGAAAUGCGUAGAUAUAUGGAAGAACACCAGUGGCGAAAGCGGCUCUCUGGUCUGUAACUGACGCUGAGGUUCGAAAGCGUGGGUAGCAAACAGGAUUAGAUACCCUGGUAGUCCACGCCGUAAACGAUGAAUGCUAAGUGUUGGAGGGUUUCCGCCCUUCA